rnacentral:rRNA from 1 species
CUGACGCAGCGACGCCGCGUGUGGGAUGACGGCCUUCGGGUUGUAAACCACUGUCGGAAGGGACGAAUGGCCCGCAAGGGCAGUGACGGUACCUUCAAAGGAAGCACCGGCUAACUCCGUGCCAGCAGCCGCGGUAAUACGGAGGGUGCGAGCGUUGUCCGGAAUCACUGGGCGUAAAGGGCGCGUAGGCGGCCCGGUAAGUAGGGGGUGAAAUCUUGCGGCUUAACCGCAAGGCUGCCUUCUAGACUGCCAGGCUCGAGCACAGUAGAGGCAGGUGGAAUUCCCGGUGUAGCGGUGGAAUGCGUAGAGAUCGGGAAGAACAUCAGUGGCGAAGGCGGCCUGCUGGACUGUAGCUGACGCUGAGGCGCGACAGCGUGGGGAGCAAACAGGAUUAGAUACCCUGGUAGUCCACGCCGUAAACGAU